rfam:Fistulina hepatica ATCC 64428 unplaced genomic scaffold FISHEscaffold_24, whole genome shotgun sequence.
GGCGCUGUAGCCAAGUGGUUAAGGCGAUUGAUUCGAAUCAUCGAUAUGAUCCAAGCGAUUAUCAAUUCCACUUUGUGGGCGCAGGUUCAAAUCCUGCCGGCGUCG